rnacentral:rRNA from 1 species
UACGUAGGGUGCAAGCGUUAAUCGGAAUUACUGGGCGUAAAGCGUACGCAGGCGGCUUUGCAAGACAGGUGUGAAAUCCCCGGGCUUAACCUGGGAACUGCGCUUGUAACUGGCAAGCUGGAGUGUGGCAGAGGGGGGUGGAAUUCCCGGUGUAGCGGUGAAAUGCGUAGAGAUCGGGAGGAACACCCGUGGCGAAGGCGGCCAUCUGGACCAGCACUGACGCUGAGGCACGAAAGCGUGGGGAGCAAACAGG